rnacentral:rRNA from 1 species
UGGGGAAUAUUGCACAAUGGGCGCAAGCCUGAUGUAGCCAUGCCGCGUGUAUGAAGAAGGCCUUCGGGUUGUAAAGUACUUUCAGCGGGGAGGAAGGGAGUAAAGUUAAUACCUUUGCUCAUUGACGUUACCCGCAGAAGAAGCACCGGCUAACUCCGUGCCAGCAGCCGCGGUAAUACGGAGGGUGCAAGCGUUAAUCGGAAUUACUGGGCGUAAAGCGCACGCAGGCGGUUUGUUAAGUCAGAUGUGAAAUCCCCGGGCUCAACCUGGGAACUGCAUCUGAUACUGGCAAGCUUGAGUCUCGUAGAGGGGGGUAGAAUUCCAGGUGUAGCGAUGAAAUGCGUAGAGAUCUGGAGGAAUACCGGUGGCGAAGGCGGCCCCCUGGACGAAGACUGACGCUCAGGUGCGAAAGCGUGGGGAGCAAACAGG